GAUGUCUCAGCUCUACCUAUAUAAUCCAUUGUUGUUGUUUCCCAUUGGCUCAAGCCCAGUUAGUUCAGUCGGUAGAGCAUGAGAAUC